CAAUAGCGUAUAUUUAAGUUGCUGCAGUUAAAAAGCACGUAGUUGGAUUUCGGGUGGGAAUGGCCGGUCCGCCGUUUCGGUGUGCACUUGCUACGCCCACCUUGCUGCCGGGGACGUGCUCUUGAGUUCACGCUCGGGACACGGAGUCGGCGAGGUUACUUUGAGUAAAUUAGAGUGUUCAAAGCAGGCCUACGCUCUGAAUACAUUAGCAUGGAAUAACACGAUAGGACUCUGGCCUAUCUUGUUGGUCUGUAGGACCGGAGUAAUGAUUAAGAGGGACAGUCGGGGGCAUUCGUAUUUCAUUGUCAGAGGUGAAAUUCUUGGAUUUAUGAAAGACGAACUACUGCGAAAGCAUUUGCCAAGGAUGUUUUCAUUAA
rnacentral:rRNA from 1 species